GUUUUCUCUCUCUCUCUCUCUCCUCCCCCUUUGGCGGCGUUCAGACUCGAGUGUUCAGACUCGCCACGGAAAACGAAGGCGUCUGCCAGACGAGGAGCGGAGGAAAAGAAGGGGAAUCUUGCCAAACGAACCGCAGCAGACACCCAGCCAGGACAGGAAGUCAGACUGUAACCGACUUCCUGUGGCCUCUCACAAAAGCAGGUACACGACAAACCCGUCAUGGCGGCUCCUCUCUCACCAUCAUCUUCUCGUCAUCAUCAGCUCCAAAAAGCAGCAGAGGAACCAGCUCAAAUCUGGAUUCAGACGGGGAAUCGAACAGCCGAGCAGCUCCGUGUUUGCUGAGCUCAGAUUUGAUCUUGUGUGGGGUUUUUUAUCAGCGCAGCUGCUUUUCUUUUGUGCCAUUGUGAAACUGCUCAAAGUUCAAAAGUUGAGAGUUAUAAUUUAAAGGUUCAUCCUCAUCCUCAACCCCAAAGAGGGAGAUUAUGAAUCUGCCAACAAACUUUGUUUCCGCAGACAGACGACGGAAGUAUUGAAGUUAAAUAUACAGGAACAGAAAUAUCGUCUUUCUCAUCACAUUUUAAAACCUUUACAAACUGACACUCAAACUGUUUCUGCUCCAGUGAACUCAUUUAUAUCUGCUGCAAGAAUAAAACAUGAAAACUGGCUUCUAAUUAUCAUAUUUACUCUGGUGUCAGACAUACAUAACAAUAAUUUAUCUCUUAUUUCCUGACACACAUCAGCGGCCUGAUAAAUAUCGUGCACCGCUGUUUCUUGUUGUAUUUUGGAAAAAUCAUUUGAAAUCCAAUGAAAUGUUUAAGAUUCA